rnacentral:lncRNA from 1 species
GGGACCAUGGGCGGCUUAUGUUCCACGAUUUUGAGGCCAUUUGCAGCGAGCUCCGCCAGCCUGCCCCUCCCCUGCAGCCGCCACCACCGGCACAGCACCGCCACCAGUGUCUUCGGGGCUUUCUUCAGAGGAGACUGUCAGCAUCCUCAAGUUCCAGGUGCUCUGGCCCCAGUCCUGCUUCUUGACGCUUUUUGCCAGGGGCUGCCUCCCCUUCUCAAUGGCCUGAACCUUGGCCAGUUCCCACAAAGUUUGACGGGAACACAAGGCUGUCACUGACAUUUGUGGCACUAUAACUUACAGGCACGCGUGUUGCACACAUCGGACACUGUGCCACAUGCAGUGACACCAUCUGAGGUGCGCACGCCGCACGCGCACCCCGCACGCGCACGCCGCACCGUCUUGGCUUGGCGUUCUGCACACGCGUGUGUAACGGCUUGGGUUGGCGUUCCUCGCUUGGCUUGGUGUUGGUCGCUUGACUUGACGUUCCUUGCUUGGCUUGGCAUUGGUCGCUUUGCUUCCUGGUCCUUGCGUGGAUUGGCGUUUCCUCCCUCGGCAUUCCUUUGCUGGGCUUGACCUUUCCUUGGCUGGGCUUGGCAUUCCCCUGGCUGGGCUGGGUGUUUCCUUGGCGGGUGGGUGGAGGGGCUUGGCCUUUCCCCGGGUGGGUGUGGGCUUUCCCCCGGGGUGGGAGUGGGAUUUUCCCAGGUGGGUGUGGCCUUGCAAAUACUGCUGGGCUUGGCCUCUCCUCGCCUGGGCUGGGCUCCACUGCUUUGGUGGGUUUUGGCUGUGCUUGACCUUUCUCCUGUAACAGAUUGGAAACCUAGAGUAUCUUGCUUGUUGGUGAAAUUUGUUGGCAGAGGUGAUUGGCUGGCUACUACCUGGCUCCCCAGGCUGGUAAAAGAGGAUGGGGGCUGAGGUUUCUUCAAAGCCGGCUGCCUCUACUAUGAAGAAGCCUUUUGGCCUCAGCAGCAAGAUGGGCAAGUGGUGCUGCCACUGCUUCCCCUCCUGCAGGGGGAGUAGCAAGAACAACGUAGACUCUGGGGGAGACCACGACGACAUCGCCUUUUUGGAGCCAAGGACUGCUCUACAUUUGGCCUGUGGGAAUUCAGAAGUAGUAAAACUCCUGCUGGAUAGAAAAUGUCAACUUCAUGUCUUUGACAGCAAAAAGAGGACAGCUCUAAUAAAGGCUGUACAAUGUGCAAUACUUUUGCUACGACGUGGUAUUGAUCCAAAUCUUCCGGAUGUGUAUGGCAAUACUGCCCUACACUAUGCUGUCUACAGUGAAGAUAGAUUAAUGCAAUUAGCAAUUAAACACUGCUUUUAUACAAUGCUGAUAUCAAAUCAAAAAACAAGGUAUAGAUCUAAUUUUAUUUUCAAAAUACCCAAUGCAUUUAUUUUAACAUUGACCUGUGUAAGGGCCAGUUUUCUAUAUUUGGAAGCUCAAGUAUAACCUGAAUGAAAAUAUUUUGAAAUGACUUAAUUAUCUAAGACUUUAUUUUAAAUAUUGUCA